rnacentral:rRNA from 1 species
CACCCCGGAAGGGGAGUGAAAUAGAACCUGAAACCGUGUGCUUACAAGUAGUCAGAGCCCGUUAAUGGGUGAUGGCGUGCCUUUUGUAGAAUGAACCGGCGAGUUACGAUUUGAUGCAAGGUUAAGCAGUAAAUGUGGAGCCGUAGCGAAAGCGAGUCUGAAUAGGGCGUUUAGUAUUUGGUCGUAGACCCGAAACCAGGUGAUCUACCCUUGGUCAGGUUGAAGUUCAGGUAACACUGAAUGGAGGACCGAACCGACUUACGUUGAAAAGUGAGCGGAUGAACUGAGGGUAGCGGAGAAAUUCCAAUCGAACCUGGAGAUAGCUGGUUCUCUCCGAAAUAGCUUUAGGGCUAGCCUCAAGUGAUGAUUAUUGGAGGUAGAGCACUGUUUGGACGAGGGGCCCCUCUCGGGUUACCGAAUUCAGACAAACUCCGAAUGCCAAUUAAUUUAACUUGGGAGUCAGAACAUGGGUGAUAAGGUCCGUGUUCGAAAGGGAAACAGCCCAGACCACCAGCUAAGGUCCCAAAAUAUAUGUUAAGUGGAAAAGGAUGUGGCGUUGCCCAGACAACUAGGAUGUUGGCUUAGAAGCAGCCAUCAUUUAAAGAGUGCGUAAUAGCUCACUAGUCGAGUGACACUGCGCCGAAAAUGUACCGGGGCUAAACAUAUUACCGAAGCUGUGGAUUGUCCUUUGGACAAUGGUAGGAGAGCGUUCUAAGGGCGUUGAAGCAUGAUCGUAAGGACAUGUGGAGCGCUUAGAAGUGAGAAUGCCGGUGUGAGUAGCGAAAGACGGGUGAGAAUCCCGUCCACCGAUUGACUAAGGUUUCCAGAGGAAGGCUCGUCCGCUCUGGGUUAGUCGGGUCCUAAGCUGAGGCCGACAGGCGUAGGCGAUGGAUAACAGGUUGAUAUUCCUGUACCACCUAUAAUCGUUUUAAUCGAUGGGGGGACGCAGUAGGAUAGGCGAAGCGUGCGAUUGGAUUGCACGUCUAAGCAGUAAGGCUGAGUAUUAGGCAAAUCCGGUACUCGUUAAGGCUGAGCUGUGAUGGGGAGAAGACAUUGUGUCUUCGAGUCGUUGAUUUCACACUGCCGAGAAAAGCCUCUAGAUAGAAAAUAGGUGCCCGUACCGCAAACCGACACAGGUAGUCAAGAUGAGAAUUCUAAGGUGAGCGAGCGAACUCUCGUUAAGGAACUCGGCAAAAUGACCCCGUAACUUCGGGAGAAGGGGUGCUCUUUAGGGUUAACGCCCAGAAGAGCCGCAGUGAAUAGGCCCAAGCGACUGUUUAUCAAAAACACAGGUCUCUGCUAAACCGUAAGGUGAUGUAUAGGGGCUGACGCCUGCCCGGUGCUGGAAGGUUAAGAGGAGUGGUUAGCUUCUGCGAAGCUACGAAUCGAAGCCCCAGUAAACGGCGGCCGUAACUAUAACGGUCCUAAGGUAGCGAAAUUCCUUGUCGGGUAAGUUCCGACCCGCACGAAAGGCGUAACGAUUUGGGCACUGUCUCAACGAGAGACUCGGUGAAAUCAUAGUACCUGUGAAGAUGCAGGUUACCCGCGACAGGACGGAAAGACCCCGUGGAGCUUUACUGUAGCCUGAUAUUGAAAUUCGGCACAGCUUGUACAGGAUAGGUAGGAGCCUUUGAAACGUGAGCGCUAGCUUACGUGGAGGCGCUGGUGGGAUACUACCCUAGCUGUGUUGGCUUUCUAACCCGCACCACUUAUCGUGGUGGGAGACAGUGUCAGGCGGGCAGUUUGACUGGGGCGGUCGCCUCCUAAAAGGUAACGGAGGCGCUCAAAGGUUCCCUCAGAAUGGUUGGAAAUCAUUCAUAGAGUGUAAAGGCAUAAGGGAGCUUGACUGCGAGACCUACAAGUCGAGCAGGGUCGAAAGACGGACUUAGUGAUCCGGUGGUUCCGCAUGGAAGGGCCAUCGCUCAACGGAUAAAAGCUACCCCGGGGAUAACAGGCUUAUCUCCCCCAAGAGUUCACAUCGACGGGGAGGUUUGGCACCUCGAUGUCGGCUCAUCGCAUCCUGGGGCUGUAGUCGGUCCCAAGGGUUGGGCUGUUCGCCCAUUAAAGCGGUACGCGAGCUGGGUUCAGAACGUCGUGAGACAGUUCGGUCCCUAUCCGUCGUGGGCGUAGGAAAUUUGAGAGGAGCUGUCCUUAGUACGAGAGGACCGGGAUGGACAUACCUCUGGUGUACCAGUUGUCGUGCCAACGGCAUAGCUGGGUAGCUAUGUGUGGACGGGAUAAGUGCUGAAAGCAUCUAAGCAUGAAGCCCCCCUCAAGAUGAGAUUUCCCAACUUCGGUUAUAAGAUCCCUCAAAGAUGAUGAGGUUAAUAGGUUCGAGGUGGAAGCAUGGUGACAUGUGGAGCUGACGAAUACUAAUCGAUCGAAGACUUAAUCAA